rnacentral:rRNA from 1 species
GACGAACGCUGGCGGCGUGCCUAAUACAUGCAAGUAGAACGCUGAAGGAGGAGCUUGCUUCCCCGGAUGAGUUGCGAACGGGUGAGUAACGCGUAGGUAACCUGCCUGGUAGCGGGGGAUAACUAUUGGAAACGAUAGCUAAUACCGCAUAAUAGCAGUUGUUGCAUGAUAACUGAUUGAAAGGUGCAAUUGUACCACUACUAGAUGAACCUGCGUUGUAUUAGCUAAUUGGUGGGGUAACGGCUCACCAAAGCGACGAUACAUAGCCGACCUGGGAGGGGGGUCGGCCACACUUGGACUGGGGCACGGCCCCGACUCCUACGGGGAGCAGCAGUAGGGGAUCUUCGGCAAUGGACGGAAGUCUGAACGGGCAACGCCGCGGGAGUGAAGGAAGUUUUCGGAUCCUAAAGCUCUGUUGUUAGGGGAGGACGAGUGUUGGAGUGGAAAGUUCACACUGUGACGGUAUCUUACCAGAAAGCGACGGCUAACUACGUG